CCCGCAGCAAAGCCAGCGACGUUCCCUCCCAAGAGCACAGAUCUAGCCGCGCGGCUCUGGCGGCACAGCGACGAUUUGACGACGACCGUCGCCUCCCUCCCUCCCCGACGUCCUUCGCCUCCCUCUCCCCCAGUCCUUCUUCUUCGAUAGAAGCUGGACUUCUCUCAGGUCCUGCAACCGGUGGAGUGGAUGGAUGGCCCGCUUCAACUCUGGAGUUUAUGGAGUGUCAUUUGUGGGGUGAACAAUAACAAGCUAGUCCAUGAUACCCAUUUUAUAUUCGUUCCCUUGCUCUUUUCUACUUGAUAUAAAAUCAUUUGUAUGUAUGUCUUAUGACCAAACCUGUGUUGAUUCAUGAGAGAUGUAAGUUCCCAGCAGAAAUUAUACGGUAUAACCUGUGUUGCUGUGUUGGGGUCAUGAGAGAAAUGUUGCCUGGCAGUUUGCAAGUUAAACCCAUACUCCCCUGUUCCUAAGAUUGCACUAUAUAUAUAGUUAUUAUUUUUGCAUAA